UACGUAGGGGGCAAGCGUUGUCCGGAUUUAUUGGGCGUAAAGAGCUCGUAGGCGGUUCCGUAAGUCGUGAAGUCAAAUCUCUGGGCUCAACCCAGAAUCGCUUCCGAUACUGCGGUGACUGGAGUCCGGUAGGGGAGUGUGGAAUUCCUGGUGUAGCGGUGAAAUGCGCAGAUAUUAGGAGGAACACCAACAGCGAAGGCAGCACUCUGGGCCGGUACUGACGCUGAGGAGCGAAAGCAUGGGGAGCGAACAGG
rnacentral:rRNA from 1 species